UACGUAGGUGGCAAGCGUUGUCCGGAUUUACUGGGCGUAAAGAGCGCGCAGGCGGUCGCUCAAGUCGCGUGUGAAAGCCCCCGGCUCAACUGGGGAGGGUCACGCGAUACUGAUCGACUGGAAGGCAGGAGAGGGUAGUGGAAUUCCCGGUGUAGUGGUGAAAUGCGUAGAUAUCGGGAGGAACACCCGUGGCUAAGGCGGCUCUCUAGUACGGUACUGACGCUGAGACGCGAAAGCGUGGGGAGCGAACAGG
rnacentral:rRNA from 1 species